GAGUGGCGAAAGGGCGCACUAUACAUCGGAACGUGCCCUGUAGUGGGGGAUAGCUCGGCCAAACCCGGAUUAAUACCGCAUACCCCCUGAGGGGGAAAGUGGGGGACCGUCAAGGCCUCACGUUUUUGGAGGGGCCGAUGGUUGAUCACCUAGUUGGUAGGGUAAAGGCCUACCAAGGCGACGAUCAGUAUCUGGUCUGAGAGGACGAUCACCCCCACUGGGACUGAGACACGGCCCAUACUCCUACGGGAGGCAGCAGUGGGGAAUUUUGCAUAAUGGGGGAAACCCUGAUCCAGUAAUGCCGCGUGUGCGAAGAAGGCCUUCUGGUUGUAAAGCACUUUUGUCAGGGAAGAAAUCCUUUGUGCUACUACCCUAGGGGGAUGACGGCACCUGAAGAAUAAGCACCGGCUAACUACGUGCCAGCAGCUGCGGUAAUACGUAGGGUGCAAGCGUUAAUCGGAAUUACUGGGCGUAAAGCGUGCGCUGGCGGUUGUGUCAGACAGGUGUGAAAUCCCCCGGUUUAACCUGUGAAUUGCAUUUCUGACUGCACGACCAUAGUGUGUUUUCAUAGGGGUGGAAUUCCCCGCGCUGCAAUGAAAUGCGUUAGAUAUUUGCAGGAACACCCAUGUGGGAACGCACCCCCCUGCCAUAACACU
rnacentral:rRNA from 1 species